GGCUUUAGCCCUUUCACUCUUGUUUGAUCUCAUAAACUAAGCAGGGUUGGGCCUGGUUAGUGUUUGGAUGCGAAACCAAAUGGGAUUCCCAGGUGCUACAGGUU
rnacentral:rRNA from 1 species